CCUGGCUCAGAACGAACGCUGGCGGCAGGCCUAACACAUGCAAGUCGAGCGCGAAUGGAGCAAUCCUAGUAGAGCGGCGCACGGGGUGCGUAACACGUGGGUAAUCUGCCCUGAGCCCGGGAUAACCUGCCGAAAGGCAAGCUGAAUACCGGAUAAGCCUACGGUCCCCUCGGGGACUGAAGGAAAAGGUGGCCUCUGCAUGCAAGCUAUCACUUCAGGAUGAGCCCCGCGGCCCCAUCAGCUCGUUGGCGGGGUAACGGCCCACCAAGGCAACGACGGGUAGCUGGUCUGAGAGGACGAUCAGCCACACUGGAACUGAGACACGGUCCAGACUCCUACGGGAGGCAGCAGUGGGGAAUUUUGCGCAAUGGGCGAAAGCCUGACGCAGCAACGCCGCGUGUGUGAUGAAGGUCUUCGGAUUGUAAAGCACUUUCGACCGGGACGAAAACCCGCUGGCCAAUAUCCAGCGACUUGACGGUACCGGGAGAAGAAGCACCGGCUAACUCUGUGCCAGCAGCCGCGGUAA
rnacentral:rRNA from 1 species